CCUACGGGUGGCAGCAGUGGGGAAUAUUGGGCAAUGGGCGCAAGCCUGACCCAGCCACGCCGCGUGAAGGAAGACGGCUUUCGGGUUGUAAACUUCUUUUCUGGGGGACGAACAAAUGACGGUACCCCAGGAUUAAGACACGGCUAACUACGUGCCAGCAGCCGCGGGAAUACGGAGGUGGCAAGCGUUAUCCGGAUUUAUUGGGUGUAAAGGGCGUGUAGGCGGGAAUGGAAGUCAGAUGUGAAAACUAUGGGCUCAACCCAUAGACUGCAUUUGUAACUGUAUUUCUUGAGUGCUGGAGAGGCAGGCGGAAUUCGGGGUGUAGCGGUGAAAUGCGUAGAUAUACGGAGGAACACCAGUGGCGAAGGCGGAUUGCUGGACAGUAACUGACGCUGAGGCGCGAAAGCGUGGGGAGUAAACAGGAUUAGAUACCCCUGUAGUC
rnacentral:rRNA from 1 species